ACGGAUGGGCAUGCGGCGCAUUAGCUAGUUGGCGGGGUAACGGCCCACCAAGGCGACGAUGCGUAGGGGUUCUGAGAGGAAGGUCCCCCACACUGGUACUGAGACACGGACCAGACUCCUACGGGAGGCAGCAGUGAGGAAUAUUGGUCAAUGGGCGAGAGCCUGAACCAGCCAAGUCGCGUGAGGGAGUACUGCCCUAUGGGUUGUAAACCUCUUUUGUCGGGGAGCAAAAGCCGGUACGUGUACCGUCUGUGAGAGUACCCGAAGAAAAAGCAUCGGCUAACUCCGUGCCAGCAGCCGCGGUAAUACGGAGGAUGCGAGCGUUAUCCGGAUUUAUUGGGUUUAAAGGGUGCGCAGGCGGAUUUUUAAGUCAGCGGUCAAAUCGUGGGGCUCAACCCCAUCCAGCCGUUGAAACUGGGGAUCUAGAGUGUGCGAGAGGUAUGCGGAAUGCGUGGUGUAGCGGUGAAAUGCAUAGAUAUCACGCAGAACCCCGAUUGCGAAGGCAGCAUACCGGUGCACAACUGACGCUCAGGCACGAAAGCGUGGGUAUCGAACAGGAUUAGAUACCCUGGUAGUCCACGCAGUAAACGAUGA
rnacentral:rRNA from 1 species